rnacentral:rRNA from 1 species
UACGUAGGGUGCAAGCGUUGUCCGGAAUUAUUGGGCGUAAAGAGCUCGUAGGCGGCUUGUCGCGUCGGCUGUGAAAACCUGGGGCUCAACUCCGGGCCUGCAGCCGAUACGGGCAAGCUAGAAUUCGGUAGGGGAGACUGGAAUUCCUGAUGUAGCGGUGAAAUGCGCAGAUAUCAGGAGGAACACCGGUGGCGAAGGCGGGUCUCUGGGCCGAUAUUGACGCUGAGGAGCGAAAGCGUGGGGAGCGAACAGG